rnacentral:rRNA from 1 species
GGGCUGGACCUCUCGGGGUUACAGCCUUGCUGAAUUAUUCACCCUUGUCUUUUGCGUACUUCUUGUUUCCUUGGUGGGUUCGCCCACCACUAGGACAAACAUAAACCUUUUGUAAUUGCAAUCAGCGUCAGUAACAAAUUAAUAAUUACAACUUUCAACAACGGAUCUCUUGGUUCUGGCAUCGAUGAAGAACGCAGCGAAAUGCGAUAAGUAGUGUGAAUUGCAGAAUUCAGUGAAUCAUCGAAUCUUUGAACGCACAUUGCGCCCUUUGGUAUUCCAAAGGGCAUGCCUGUUCGAGCGUCAUUUGUACCCUCAAGCUUUGCUUGGUGUUGGGCGUCUUGUCUCUAGCUUUGCUGGAGACUCGCCUUAAAGUAAUUGGCAGCCGGCCUACUGGUUUCGGAGCGCAGCACAAGUCGCACUCUCUAUCAGCAAAGGUCUAGCAUCCAUUAAGCCUUUUUUCAACUUUUGACCUCGGAUCAGGUAGGGAUACCCGCUGAACUUAAGCAUAUCAAAAACCGGGAGGAA